rnacentral:rRNA from 1 species
GACGAACGCUGGCGGCGUGCUUAACACAUGCAAGUCGAACGGAAAGGCCCUUCGGGGUACUCGAGUGGCGAACGGGCGAGUAACACGCGGGUGAUCUGCCCUGCACUCUGGGAUAAGCCUGGGAAACUGGGUCUAAUACCGGAUAGGACCACACACUUCAUGGUGAGUGGUGCAAAGCUUUUGCGGUGUGGGAUGAGCCCGCGGCCUAUCAGCUUGUUGGUGGGGUAAUGGCCCACCAAGGCGACGACGGGUAGCCGGCCUGAGAGGGUGACCGGCCACACUGGGACUGAGAUACGGCCCAGACUCCUACGGGAGGCAGCAGUGGGGAAUAUUGCACAAUGGGCGCAAGCCUGAUGCAGCGACGCCGCGUGAGGGAUGACGGCCUUCGGGUUGUAAACCUCUUUCAGUAGGGACGAAGCGAAAGUGACGGUACCUACAGAAGAAGGACCGGCCAACUACGUGCCAGCAGCCGCGGUAAUACGUAGGGUCCGAGCGUUGUCCGGAAUUACUGGGCGUAAAGAGCUCGUAGGUGGUUUGUCGCGUUGUUCGUGAAAACUCACAGCUUAACUGUGGGCGUGCGGGCGAUACGGGCAGACUAGAGUACUGCAGGGGAGACUGGAAUUCCUGGUGUAGCGGUGGAAUGCGCAGAUAUCAGGAGGAACACCGGUGGCGAAGGCGGGUCUCUGGGCAGUAACUGACGCUGAGGAGCGAAAGCGUGGGUAGCGAACAGGAUUAGAUACCCUGGUAGUCCACGCCGUAAACGGUGGGUACUAGGUGUGGGUUUCCUUCCUUGGGAUCCGUGCCGUAGCUAACGCAUUAAGUACCCCGCCUGGGGAGUACGGUCGCAAGACUAAAACUCAAAGGACUUGACGGGGGCCCGCACAAGCGGCGGAGCAUGUGGAUUAAUUCGAUGCAACGCGAAGAACCUUACCUGGGUUUGACAUGCACAGGACGUACCUAGAGAUAGGUAUUCCCUUGUGGCCUGUGUGCAGGUGGUGCAUGGCUGUCGUCAGCUCGUGUCGUGAGAUGUUGGGUUAAGUCCCGCAACGAGCGCAACCCUUGUCCUAUGUUGCCAGCGGGUAAUGCCGGGGACUCGUAGGAGACUGCCGGGGUCAACUCGGAGGAAGGUGGGGAUGACGUCAAGUCAUCAUGCCCCUUAUGUCCAGGGCUUCACACAUGCUACAAUGGCCAGUACAGAGGGCUGCGAAGCCGCAAGGUGGAGCGAAUCCCUUAAAGCUGGUCUCAGUUCGGAUUGGGGUCUGCAACUCGACCCCAUGAAGUCGGAGUCGCUAGUAAUCGCAGAUCAGCAACGCUGCGGUGAAUACGUUCCCGGGCCUUGUACACACCGCCCGUCACGUCAUGAAAGUCGGUAACACCCGAAGCCAGUGGCCUGACCUUUUGGAGGAAGGUGUCGAAGGUGGGAUCGGCGAUUGGGAC